AGAGAGUUACUAGAAGUGAAAAAAAGAGUUCCCGCUGAGAAAGAACUGAAAGAAAGACACAGUUGGGCUCCUUACGGAAAACGAGGAAUAUACUUAAAAUGAUGACGUCAUUUAUUGAAGAUGAAAAUGUAACGAAAGAGAACAGUAACAAGAGGAACAACAACAUUUUGUUAACAUUCACAUUUAUAAUAUUAAAAUUAUGUACUAAUAGAACUAUGAUU
rnacentral:sRNA from 1 species